ensembl:snRNA U6 U6 spliceosomal RNA
GUGCUUACUACAGCACCACAUAUACUAAAAUUAGAACAAUACAGAGAAAAUUAGCAUGUCCCCUGAAGAAGGAUGGCAUGCAAAUUCAUGAAAUCUUCCAUAUUUUA